AUACGGAGGGUGCAAGCGUUGUUCGGAAUUACUGGGCGUAAAGCGCGUGCAGGCGGUAAGGUAAGUCAGAUGUGAAAGCCCCGGGCUCUACCCGGGAAGUGCAUUUGAUACUGCCUUUCUUGAGUAUGGGAGAGGAGAGUGGAAUUCCCAGUGUAGAGGUGAAAUUCGUAGAUAUUGGGAGGAACACCCGUGGCGAAGGCGACUCUCUGGACCAAUACUGAUGCUGGGACGCGAAAGCGUGGGGAGCGAACAGGAUUAGAUACCCCAGUAGUCC
rnacentral:rRNA from 1 species